GAAGCGGUGGCUCAAUGGCAGAGCUUUUGACUCCAAUAAUCAAAGGGUUGCAGGUUCGAUUCCUGUCCGUUUCA
rnacentral:tRNA from 1 species